rnacentral:rRNA from 1 species
UACGAAGGGGGCUAGCGUUGUUCGGAAUUACUGGGCGUAAAGCGCGCGCAGGCGGUCUUCCAAGUCAGUGGUGAAAGCCCGGAGCUCAACUCCGGAAUUGCCAUUGAAACUGUGAGACUGGAGUACGAGAGAGGUGAGUGGAAUUCCCAGUGUAGAGGUGAAAUUCGUAGAUAUUGGGAGGAACACCGGUGGCGAAGGCGGCUCACUGGCUCGUAACUGACGCUCAGGCGCGACAGCGUGGGGAUCAAACAGG